ACCUCCAACUAUUUGGUUCUCCAACUGUGUUAUCCAAAUCUGUGAGGUGAGGCGCUCUCAAUUACCAAAUCGCCACCGUUCUCGCCAUUGUCCGUCGCCUAGGACCGGUGCGUGAGGUGCUGCUGCUGUAGGUGGAUGUCCUUGCGAGCUAGCUCCCGGUGAGCCGAAGAAAUUUUGAUAUUUUGCAUCGGAGUGUCCGUUGGUCUGGGAGGCUUCUUUUUGGAGGAGAUUAAGGUGUUGAUGUGUAUUGUUGGUAGGACUCGUGAGGACAUCAUCCUAAAUUGGUUUUGCUUGCGCUAGAUGUUGAGCUGAUCUUUGGGAAGCAUGGAGCCGUCAGAAAAGCGCUUGACUUGCUGCAAGGACAAAAACGAUUGUCAAUUCGUCGGAUAUUGACGUUGAUCUAUCAGAAGCAGGGAAACGGCCGAAAAAGCACCUGAAUUGCUGCAAGGUCAAAAGCAUCGACGGAAAUUUACCUGACCUUUAGGAUAUUCUGUGGGAAGCAUGAAGCCGACGCCGGGAUAUGUGGAAACAUAUAUUGAUAUUCAUCUCUAGGAAAAAGGAAGCAGAAAUCUGGGAUACGUGGAAAGAGUCUCUGGGAGUUAAGUAUAGAUGACAUGCUGUUUGUAAACUAAACCUGGGAUACGCAUAUGCAAGAUGCCUAUGUUGCUAACCACGUGAACUAACUGGACUCUUAUUUUUCUAUCAUGAGGAGCGUGAGGAGUCCUGAAAGGCCGAGGAGUCGUGACAUGUUAGUCACGUUGUACAAUCUGUCAAUUCGUGUUAACAAUUUAUUAAUUAAAUCGUGGCCUUUAAAUAAUAGAUCUAA